rnacentral:tRNA from 2 species
GGUAUCGCCAAGCGGUAAGGCAACGGACUCUGACUCCGUCAUUCAAAGGUUCGAAUCCUUUUACCC